ACGCUGGCGGCACGCCUAACACAUGCAAGUCGAACGAAGUAGCAAUACUUAGUGGCAGACGGGUGAGUAACAUGUAGGUAUCUGCCCUUUGGCCUGGAAUAACACGAGGAAACUUGUGCUAAUACCGGAUAAGUCUUUACAGAGAAAGCUUUAUGCACCAUUGGAUGAGCCUGCACUUGAUUAGUUUGUUGGUGGGGUAAUGGCCUACCAAGACUGUGAUCAAUAGCUGAUUUGAGAGGAUGAUCAGCCACAUUGGGACUGAGACACGGCCCAAACUCCUACGGGAGGCAGCAGUGGGGAAUCUUGCACAAUGGAGGAAACUCUGAUGCAGCGAUGCCGCGUGAGUGAAGAAGGCCUUUGGGUUGUAAAGCUCUUUCGUCGGGGAAGAAAAUGACUGUACCCGAAUAAGAAGGUCCGGCUAACUUCGUGCCAGCAGCCGCGGUAAUACGAAGGGACCUAGCGUAGUUCGGAAUUACUGGGCUUAAAGAGUUCGUAGGUGGUUGAAAAAGUUAGUGGUGAAAUCCCAGAGCUUAACUCUGGAACUGCCAUUAAAACUUUUCAGCUAGAGUAUGAUAGAGGAAAGCAGAAUUUCUAGUGUAGAGGUGAAAUUCGUAGAUAUUAGAAAGAAUACCAAUUGCGAAGGCAGCUUUCUGGAUCAUUACUGACACUGAGGAACGAAAGCAUGGGUAGCGAAGAGGAUUAGAUACCCUCGUAGUCCAUGCCGUAAACGAUGUGUGUUAGACGUUGGAAAUUUAUUUUCAGUGUCGCAGCGAAAGCGAUAAACACACCGCCUGGGGAGUACGACCGCAAGGUUAAAACUCAAAUGAAUUGACGGGGACCCGCACAAGUAGUGGAGCAUGUGGUUUAAUUCGAAGAUACGCGCAGAACCUUACCAACACUUGACAUGUUCGUCGCGACUCUAAGAGAUUAGAGUUUUCGGUUCGGCCGGACGAAACACAGGUGCUGCAUGGCUGUCGUCAGCUCGUGUCGUGAGAUGUUGGGUUAAGUCCCGCAACGAGCGCAACCCUCACUUUUAGUUGCCAUCAUUAAGUUGGGCACUCUGAAAGAACUGCCAGUGAUAAGCUGGAGGAAGGUGGGGAUGACGUCAAGUCCUCAUGGCCCUUACGUGUUGGGCUACACACGUGCUACAAUGGUAUCUACAACAGGAAGCAAGACUGCGAAGUUAAGCAAAUCCCUAAAAGAUACCUCAGUUCGGAUUGCACUCUGCAACUCGAGUGCAUGAAGCUGGAAUUACUAGUAAUCGUGGAUCAGCGUGCCACGGUGAAUGCGUUCCCGGGUCUUGUACACACC
rnacentral:rRNA from 1 species